rnacentral:rRNA from 1 species
AGAGUUUGAUCCUGGCUCAGAACGAACGCUGGCGGCGUGGAUAAGACAUGCAAGUCGAACGAGAGAAUUGCUAGCUUGCUAAUAAUUCUCUAGUGGCGCACGGGUGAGUAACACGUGAGUAACCUGCCCCCGAGAGCGGGAUAGCCCUGGGAAACUGGGAUUAAUAACGCAUAGUAUCGAAAGAUUAAAGCAGCAAUGCGCUUGGGGAUGGGCUCGCGGCCUAUUAGUUAGUUGGUGAGGUAACGGCUCACCAAGGCGAUGACGGGUAGCCGGUCUGAGAGGAUGUCCGGCCACACUGGAACUGAGACACGGUCCAGACACCUACGGGUGGCAGCAGUCGAGAAUCAUUCACAAUGGGGGAAACCCUGAUGGUGCGACGCCGCGUGGGGGAAUGAAGGUCAUCGGAUUGUAAACCCCUGUCAUGUGGGAGCAAAUUAAAAAGAUAGUACCACAAGAGGAAGAGACGGCUAACUCUGUGCCAGCAGCCGCGGUAAUACAGAGGUCUCAAGCGUUGUUCGGAAUCACUGGGCGUAAAGCGUGCGUAGGCUGUUUCGUAAGUCGUGUGUGAAAGGCGCGGGCUCAACCCGCGAACGGCACAUGAUACUGCGAGACUAGAGUAAUGGAGGGGGAACCGGAAUUCUCGGUGUAGCAGUGAAAUGCGUAGAUAUCGAGAGGAACACUCGUGGCGAAGGCGGGUUCCUGGACAUUAACUGACGCUGAGGCACGAAGGCCAGGGGAGCGAAAGGGAUUAGAUACCCCUGUAGUCCUGGCAGUAAACGGUGCACGCUUGGUGUGCGGGGAAUCGACCCCCUGCGUGCCGGAGCUAACGCGUUAAGCGUGCCGCCUGGGGAGUACGGUCGCAAGAUUAAAACUCAAAGAAAUUGACGGGGACCCGCACAAGCGGUGGAGUAUGUGGCUUAAUUCGAUGCAACGCGAAGAACCUUACCUGGGCUUGACAUGUAAUGAACAACAUGUGAAAGCAUGCGACUCUUCGGAGGCGUUACACAGGUGCUGCAUGGCCGUCGUCAGCUCGUGUCGUGAGAUGUUUGGUUAAGUCCAGCAACGAGCGCAACCCCUGUUGCCAGUUACCAGCACGUGAAGGUGGGGACUCUGGCGAGACUGCCCAGAUCAACUGGGAGGAAGGUGGGGACGACGUCAGGUCAGUAUGGCCCUUAUGCCCAGGGCUGCACACGUACUACAAUGCCCAGUACAGAGGGGGCCGAAGCCGCGAGGCGGAGGAAAUCCUAAAAACUGGGCCCAGUUCGGACUGUAGGCUGCAACCCGCCUACACGAAGCCGGAAUCGCUAGUAAUGGCGCAUCAGCUACGGCGCCGUGAAUACGUUCCCGGGUCUUGCACACACCGCCCGUCA